rnacentral:rRNA from 1 species
UGGGGGAUAUUGCACAAUGGGCGAAAGCCUGAUGCAGCGACGCCGCGUGGGGGAUGAAGGCCUUCGGGUUGUAAACUUCUUUUGCUCUGAACAAGGCAUGCUAAUGGGUGUGUUGAGUGUAGGGGUUGAUUAGCGCCGGCUAACUACGUGCCAGCAGCCGCGGUAAUACGUAGGGCGCGAGCGUUGUCCGGAAUUAUUGGGCGUAAAGGGCUUGUAGGUGGCUGGUUGCGUCUGUCGUGAAAGCUCAUGGCUUAACUGUGGGUUUGCGGUGGGUACGGGCUGGCUUGAGUGCAGUAGGGGAGGCUGGGAUUCCUGGUGUAGCGGUGGAAUGCGCAGAUAUCAGGAGGAAUACCGGUGGCGAAGGCGGGUCUCUGGGCUGUUACUGACACUGAGGAGCGAAAGCAUGGGGAGCGAACAGG